rnacentral:rRNA from 1 species
AGAGUGAACGCUGGCGGCAGGCCUAACACAUGCAAGUCGAACGGCAGCACAGUAAGAGCUUGCUCUUAUGGGUGGCGAGUGGCGGACGGGUGAGGAAUACAUCGGAAUCUGCCUAUUUGUGGGGGAUAACGUAGGGAAACUUACGCUAAUACCGCAUACGACCUACGGGUGAAAGCGGAGGACCUUCGGGCUUCGCGCAGAUAGAUGAGCCGAUGUCGGAUUAGCUAGUUGGUGGGGUAAAGCCACCAAGGCGACGAUCCGUAGCUGGUCUGAGAGGAUGAUCAGCCACACUGGAACUGAGACACGGUCCAGACUCCUACGGGAGCAGCAGGUGGGGAAUAGUUGGACAAUGGGCGCAAGCCUGAUCCAGCCAUGCCGCGUGAGUGAAGAGCCUUGGUGUAAAGCUCGUUUGUAGGGAAGAAAGCAAGUCGGUUAAUACCGGUUGUU